rnacentral:rRNA from 1 species
UACGUAGGGUGCGAGCGUUAAUCGGAAUUACUGGGCGUAAAGCGUGCGUAGGCGGUUCGUUGUGUCUGUGGUGAAAGCCCCGGGCUUAACCUGGGAAUGGCCAUGGAAACUGGCGAGCUGGAGUGUGGCAGAGGGGGGUGGAAUUCCGCGUGUAGCAGUGAAAUGCGUAGAGAUGCGGAGGAACACCGAUGGCGAAGGCAGCCCCCUGGGCUAACACUGACGCUGAGGCACGAAAGCGUGGGGAGCAAAC